UACGUAGGGGGCUAGCGUUGUCCGGAAUCAUUGGGCGUAAAGCGCGCGUAGGCGGCCCGGUAAGUCCGCUGUAAAAGUCCAGGGCUCAACCCUGGAACGCCGGUGGAUACUGUCGGGCUAGAGUCCGGAAGAGGCGAGUGGAAUUCCUGGUGUAGCGGUGAAAUGCGCAGAUAUCAGGAAGAACACCUAUGGCGAAGGCAGCUCUCUGGGACGGUACUGACGCUGAGACGCGAAAGCGUGGGGAGCGAACAGG
rnacentral:rRNA from 1 species